GGGUACACUUAGAGCCCCACAAACGAUGGUGUUAAUAGUAAAGUGUUUGGCCGCGCUUACGGUUAGUGAAUC
rnacentral:ncRNA from 1 species